AUUGAACGCUGGCGGCAUGCUUUACACAUGCAAGUCGGGCGAGCGGCGAACGGGUGAGUAACAUCUCGGAACGUACCUAGUAAUGGGGGAUAACUAAUCGAAAGAUUAGCUAAUACCGCAUAUUAUUCGAGCUGCCGAUCUCUGAUUAGCUGGUUGGUGGGGUAAAGGCUCACCAAGGCGACGAUCCGUAGCGGGUCUGAGAGGAUGAUCAGCCACACGGGGAAUGAGACACGGUCCAGACUCCGACGGGAGGCAGCAGUGGGGAAUUUUGGACAAUGGGCGCAAGCCUGAUCCAGCCAUGCCGCGUGUCUGAAGAAGGCCUUCGGGUUGUAAAGGACUUUUGUCAGGGAAGCGGUACCUGAAGAAUAAGCACCGGCUAACUACGUGCCAGCAGCCGCGGUAAUAC
rnacentral:rRNA from 1 species